rnacentral:rRNA from 1 species
GUGCCAGCAGCCGCGGUAAUACAGAGACUGCAAGCGUUAUUCGGAUUCGCUGGGCGUAAAGGGUGCGCAGGCGGCCAAGUGUGUGAGGCGUGAAAGCCUGGGGCUUAACUCCAGAAUUGCACCUCAAACUACAUGGCUGGAGCAUUGGAGAGGGUAGCAGAAUUCACGGUGUAGCAGUGAAAUGCGUAGAUAUCGUGAGGAAUACCAGAGGCGAAGGCGGCUACCUGGACAAUUGCUGACGCUCAGGCACGAAAGCGUGGGGAGCAAAAGGGAUUAGAAACCCGUGUAGUCC